rnacentral:rRNA from 1 species
AGUGAACGCUGGCGGUAGGCCUAACACAUGCAAGUCGAACGGCAGCACAGUAAGAGCUUGCUCUUACGGGUGGCGAGUGGCGGACGGGUGAGGAAUACAUCGGAAUCUACUUUUUCGUGGGGGAUAACGUAGGGAAACUUACGCUAAUACCGCAUACGACCUACGGGUGAAAGCAGGGGAUCUUCGGACCUUGCGCGAUUGAAUGAGCCGAUGUCGGAUUAGCUAGUUGGCGGGGUAAAGGCCCACCAAGGCGACGAUCCGUAGCUGGUCUGAGAGGAUGAUCAGACACACUGGAACUGAGACACGGUCCAGACUCCUACGGGGGGCAGCAGUGGGGAAUAUUGGACAAAGGGCGCAAGCCUGAUCCAGCCAUACCGCGUGGGUGAAGAAGGCCUUCGGGUUGUAAAGCCCUUUUGUUGGGAAAGAAAAGCAGCAGGUUAAUACCCCGCUGUUCUGACGGUACCCAAAGAAUAAGCACCGGCUAACUUCGUG